CAAAAAUCCCUGUGUGCCAUCUGCCUGCAUCUCAAUAGAGACUCUCAGAUGCAACAUCACAAUGGUUCCUGGUCAUUCAGGAGUGAGUGGGGCUUGGGGGCCAGAGUAUAAACUGAGGGAUCUGAACUUGUUGAAACCAGACAAGCAAGGUCUAUCAGUCAAGAGAGGUUUAAUCUAGAAAGUGCAAGAAGAUGCAGAUAGUAGCAAGGCCAUACGAGAUGGCCCAGAAGCCAGAGAUAGUCUCUGAGUCACAGUAUGGGAGAAGGCUGCUAACUGUCUCACCGUGGAGUAUUGGAGAUAAAGGAUCAAGAAGAGAGAGAGUCUAUUUCCUGGAGACCGCAG
rnacentral:lncRNA from 1 species